GACGAACGCUGGCGGCGUGCUUAACACAUGCAAGUCGAACGGAAAGGCCCUGCUUUUGUGGGGUGCUCGAGUGGCGAACGGGUGAGUAACACGUGAGUAACCUGCCCUUGACUUUGGGAUAACUUCAGGAAACUGGGGCUAAUACCGGAUAGGAGCUCCUGCUGCAUGGUGGGGGUUGGAAAGUUUCGGCGGUUGGGGAUGGACUCGCGGCAUAUCAGCUUGUUGGUGGGGUAGUGGCUUACCAAGGCUUUGACGGGUAGCCGGCCUGAGAGGGUGACCGGCCACAUUGGGACUGAGAUACGGCCCAGACUCCUACGGGAGGCAGCAGUGGGGAAUAUUGCACAAUGGGCGGAAGCCUGAUGCAGCAACGCCGCGUGCGGGAUGACGGCCUUCGGGUUGUAAACCGCUUUCGCCUGUGACGAAGCGUGAGUGACGGUAAUGGGUAAAGAAGCACCGGCUAACUACGUG
rnacentral:rRNA from 1 species